rfam:Ovis aries breed Texel chromosome 5, whole genome shotgun sequence.
UCCCUGGUGGCUCAGUGGUAAAGAAUCUGCCUGUUAAGCAGGAGAUGCAGGUUCAAUCCCUGGGUUGGGAA